rnacentral:lncRNA from 1 species
UUUCUGUCUACCUAAAGGAUUGUAAACACACCAAUCAGCACUCUGUAGCCAGCUAAAGGUUUGUAAAUGCACCAAUGAGCACCCUGUCCAAAUGGACCAAUCAGCUCUCUGUAAAAUGGACCAAUCAGCUCUCUGUAAAAUGGACCAAUCAGUUCUCCGUAAAAUGGACCAGUCAGCAGGAUGUGGGUGGGGUCAGAUAAGGGAAUAAAAGCAGGCUGCGGGAGCCAGCGGUGGCAACCUGUUAGGGUCUGCUUUUGUCCUCUGGGAGCUUUCCUUGUUUGGUUUUCGUAGUAAAUCUUACUGCUGCUCAGUGUUUGUGUCUGUGCUGCGUUUGUGAGCUGCAACGCUCACGGUAAAGGUCUACAGCUUCACUCCCGAAGCCAGCGAGACUGUAAAUCCACUGGGAGGGGCAAAGAACUCUGGACGUGCUGCAUUUUUAGGAGCUGUGACACUCACCGCGGAGGUUUGCAGUUUCACUCCUGAAAUCAGUGUAGACCACGAACGCACCAGAAGGAACAAACUCCAGACACACCGUUUUUAGGUAACCGUAACAUGUACCGCGAGGGUCUGCGGCUUCAUUCUUGAAGACGAGACUAAGAACCCACCAACUUCUGGACACAAAACCACCCCAAAAAGUGAGUUUCUAAAGGAGAAGCUAAAAAUAAAGACCACGAAAGUGUUGCCCAUGGUGAUAGCUCCAGACGUCCGGAGACGGUGUUCAGCGCUGCUGCAGGAGAGACUUUAUCUUCUAUUCCGUUGGUCUGCCUAUCUAGAAAGCAAAAUUUCAAAUACUGAGACCGAUAGAUGAAGAUGCUUUCGCUUCUUCCCUGUUUCAUCCAGUUGGGGACUAAGUGUCCUUCGGUUUGGACUGUGCAGCUCGGGUCACCUUCUCUGUGGAACAGCAAGUGAAGAAAGAGGCGCAGAGCCCUGUGUUCCAAACCCUGGAGACAAUUGAGAAAGUGGGAACCCAUUAUUCCCCAAGCCCAGCCAGCAAACCUCACCGAUGAAACAGAUAAGCACUUCCUGCAGGUGGGGCCGACACUGGCCAGGACACAGCCCUCUCUCUCACAGCAGUGUUCCAGGUUGUUUGUGCACAAAAUUUCACAAAGGUCAGAGCUCGUCUCUCCAAACCGAUGAGCUUUGCGGUUAACCUGAAUUCACUGAACUGGGAUUUAUUAUUAUUAUUCUAUUUUACCUCUAACAGAAGUUUAAGGUUCGUGUAAGUUUCGUUCCUCUCUGAUUGUAGGGGAGACGCCCAGAGCGCCAUUUGGAGGAGAGAACCUGGCAUCCUUUCCUUACCUUGAUUUCAGGUACCCAGCUCCUAGCAAAUGUGUCUUCCUCCCAGGGUUCUUUGGGGUAAAGAAUUUGGUGAGAAGGAGCUGAAUGUUAUGGCUGCGUUUCUCAGCCACUUGCUCGGAGCCAAGCAUCCUCUCACCCUUUCUUUCAACUGGUAGCCAGAAAAUACGGGUUGAGCAUCAGGGAUUCUCAACCGUGUCAAGCUCCAGCCCUGCCUGUUGUGACAGACGUUUCCUGAUGCCUGUUGCUCUCUGGAAUGAAGGUCAUGGGCAGUAUUACCCACACAGCCAUUCAAAAUCAGUCGGCUUCGUGACCUGUUGUGAAAGGAUGGCGAUUGCCGUGCCAGCACGUGACAUGGACUCGGAUGCCUGCGCACACAGGUGCACCUUCCAGAAGGUGAGGUCAGCCCGAGCGCCCACCGCCAUGUGAGUGCGCUGCUGCAGUGACCAGUUGCUGGAAUGUUCUGAACAGAGCCCAGUGCCACCCACUUUGAUGUGCGCUAUUGUUAGAUCUCCGGAAAAAUCAGAGUGCAUUAAAUUCCUGCAAAAAUUCUGUGUGUCUGUCUCUACGUAAAUGAGCUAGGGCUUUGCUCAGCCUCCUCCCUGCAUCUGGCAAGAGGAGAAGCAACUUUUAAUUCAUGUACUUGAGGGCAGCCAGCACCCAGCACCACACCACAGCAGCCCCUGGGGAGGGCAGCACCCAACACAGCACAACCCUAAUUCGUGUACUUCAGGGUAGGCAGCACCCAACACACCACAGCCCUUCCCAGCCAGCGGGACAACCACCGAGAGCCCCG